rnacentral:RNase_P_RNA from 2 species
GCGGAUGGCCGGGUGGCUGCGGGGGCAACCUCGAGGAAAGUCCGGACUCCACGAAGCGACGGUGCCGGGUAACGCCCGGGCGGGGCAACCCGACGGAUAGCGCCACAGAGAAGAGACUACCCCGCAUGCCGGGGGAAAGGUGAAACGGUGGGGUAAGAGCCCACCGCGGGGCUGGCAACAGCGCCGGCAAGGCAAGCCCCACCGGGAGCAAUGCCAAAUAGGAGCCUCACACGGGCCGCUUCGGCCUCGGGGCUCGGGUUGGCAGCUAGAGGGUCGGCAGUAAUGCCUGCCCGAGAUGAAUGGCCACCCCGCCCGCAGGCUCAGGUCCGGGGGCGGACAGAAUCCGGCUUACAGGCCAUCCGCGCAA